rnacentral:rRNA from 1 species
UUUUUCCCCAUGGACGAAAGUUUGACGGAGCAACGCCGCGUGAGUGAUGAAGGUUUUYGGAUYGUAAARMUYUGUUGUUAGGGAAGAACMMGUWCCRUUMGAAUAKGGYGGUACCUUGACGGUMCCUAACCARAAASCCACGGCUAAYUACKUGCCASCASCCSCGGUAWUACKUAGGUGGCAAGCGUUGUCCGGAAUUAUUGGGCGUAAAGGGCUCGCAGGCGGCUUUUUAAGUCUGAUGUGAAAGCCCCCGGCUCAACCGGGGAGGGUCAUUGGAAACUGGGGAACUUGAGUGCAGAAGAGGAGAGUGGAAUUCCACGUGUAGCGGUGAAAUGCGUAGAGAUGUGGAGGAACACCAGUGGCGAAGGCGACUCUCUGGUCUGUAACUGACGCUGAGGAGCGAAAGCGUGGGGAGCAAACAGGAUUAGAUACCCUGGUAGUCCACGC